AUCUUAUUAACAUGAAGAAUCGAGCACAUUGAGCUGAUCCCCUCAAUUCCUGUGCUUAAUUUUAAAAGUCUGCACGUUGAAUAAGAGGUUUAUGCAGAAGAGGACAGUUUCUUCCCAGCAAGGUUGCAAGAGACACAAAGCAGACGAAUGCUCUUGACCUCUCACCUCCUUCUAUAUUGAAAUGAGGAUGAAGUCAAUUGAAACCUCUGGAUGCUGGCACAUAAAAGACAACAGAUAGAUCCAAACCUAUCACCAUGCACAAAACUUAAGUCCAAAUGGAUCAAAGACCUCAACAUAAAUCCAGCC